AUCCUUUGCCUUUUGUGACCUCAUAGUGGAUCAUGAACACUUUUUUUCACCUGGUGUUCGAGUGAAACACACUAGGCAAAUGCUCUACUACUGAGCUAUACUCUUGGCUCUCAUGAACGCUUUUUUAAAGCCAGCUGAUGAUGUAAGAUCAAGUUCUCAAGAGAGAACUCUGCAUGUCAAGGAGUGUGACCAACUCCCACGGGAAGAGCUUGGAAAGGGGCCCAGUGAGAACCUGCAGCUUUGGUGGAUCUCAGCGCUCCCUUCCUAUAUCCACACUCCUCAUGGUGGUGAAAGCUAUGGCAAGUGAUGUUGAGAUAUGUCUGCCAUGAUGUGCAAGACAUGGUUAUCCUUCAAGGAGAGAUGCCAGAAAUAUGACAGAAAUGCCAGCGUCCCUGUCACUGUGCCAAAUCCACAAGUUUCCAGUGGCCAACUUAGGCUGCAGUUCUACUUGGGUCUCCAGGAAGGAGCCAAAGCAGCUGCUUUUGAGUCAGGACUAAUGUUCCACUCUAUUCAUUAGCACCCUAGCAAUGGGAUGUGGCACUCAUUUGACUACUCUGCACCACAAUCCCUGCCUGCCCAGUGAUAUAUAAUUCAGUGGGAAGCUAACUGCUAAAUGAAGCAGCCACCAGCUCAUCCUCUCCAGGAAACAACUGUGAAAAGGGACAUGGAAAGCCGUGUACCUACUGCUUGGCCAGAGAAAUAGAGAAAUGUGAAUCUGUAGCUUGGAAGCAGGAAUCCUUCAGGCUUCCUGGGCCUUCUGUAAGGGUGACAAUCACCAACAACGUGCUGGGGCCCAUUAAGUAUCCUUGAGUAAGCUGAUUCACUAUGGUGACAUUCAGCUACCUACACUGGCCUCUGCAAUGAGUAUCUCAUUCAUGGGUCCCAGGAGACUUUCUUUACUCUUCUGUUCUCAUUCAUCUAGCUGGAGUUUCCUGAGAAGCUAGUUUAGUAGAGCAACAAA
rnacentral:lncRNA from 1 species